ACGACCUUACUUGAACAGGAUCUGUUCUAUAGGUUGUACAACUGCCUCCCUGAGUUUCUAAGGAGGCAAGAACCGAAGUCUGGUGGAUGAACCACUGUCCUGCGGCUAGAGCGUGAUUAAUGGCUAAUGGGCUUCGGUCCUGCGGCUGUAGAGGAUCGUUCUUGGCCGACUCAGUUCGACUGGGAUGGUCGCAUGGCGGUCUGACAGACU